UACCGCGGUUAUACGAGAGGCUCAAGUUGACAGGCUCCGGCGUAAAGCGUGGUUAAGGGAAAAUAAAUACUAAAGCCGAACGCUUACUAAGCUGUUAUACGUUUCCGAGAGUAAGAAGCACAACUACGAAGGUGGCUUUACCUUACCUGACCCCACGAAAGCUAAGACA
rnacentral:rRNA from 1 species